AGUGUUGAUUGCAGACCUUGAUGCUCCAUGGUGGUGAAGAAAUGCACCAACGUCCUUAUUAAAUUGAGAGGUCUUCUGUGAUCUACAGACAAUAACAGAAAAAGGAUCAAAGUAGUUGUUCAACCUUGCAAGGAUGGCAGAGAGUCUGGUAACUGUGACUGAAUCACUUUCUAGGUUGUCUUUUGCAUCCUGGAUAGACUGGCAUAGCCUUAGAACGGGUGAUGUUGCUAUCAUGCAAAUCUGAAAUUGGAAAAUUAUAACAUAUAUACUUAUUGAAGAAUUGUAAUAUUUUACAUCAUUCUAUUAUAAUAUACAAUCAUAUACAUUUUAGAAAUUUUAUAAUAUAUCAUCAUCAUCAUUUCAAAUAUUAUGCAUGAUUGUUAGGGUGGUAAUAAAGAAAGACUGGAAUUCCAUGGUAGGUGGGGUCUACCCAGCAUUCCCUGGAGGUGGGCAUUUAACUUGAGCAAAGGGAGAUGCAAUUAACAAAUUAUUGCUGAAACUCUUGUUUCUUGCAUGGCACGAUCCGAGAUGUUGCAGUAAGCCCCCCCCCCCUUUGAAGAUUUGCCUAUUAGAAAUAGAAACAGAAAAAAACGGUCUGUAUAUACUUUAAAUCCUUAAUUUUAAUAUGGAAGUUGUGAUGUUAUCAUCUACUUGCCUUGUUAAGUUUUGACUUAGUGGGACAUUCAUUUUAUGUAAGUGGCUUGUCUGUUUUUUUGCAUUGUUAAAAAUAGAGGAUAAUAUGAUAAAUAAUGAUGAAUAAAGAGUCUUUAUUUUGGAAAGGCAGAAAAGGAUUGUGUGAAUCAAACAAGGGUUUGGUUCAUUUUAAAGAAGUUACAUUAAAAAAGGGUAUUUCAUAUUAUAAUUGAAUAUUACCAUUGCGUGUUAGGUAUAUUGGGAUUAUAUUUAUUUGUAAAAGUAAUAAUAUGUAUACUUUAAUGUUUCCUAAUACUAAAAAAUGUAUGAUUAAAUUC